rnacentral:lncRNA from 1 species
AGUCUGGUACUGGAGGAGUUCAGAGAAAGAAGGAAUCUCUGGACAUCUGCGGUGCUUCACUGAGGAGACAAGCCUCGUAUAGGAGAGUUGGCUCAAGCACGGACAUCAGUGAGGACUGGGAGAAAGACUUUGACUUGGACAUGACUGAAGAGGAGGUGCAGAUGGCACUUUCCAAAGUGGAUGCCUCCGGGGAGGUGAGUGGGCCUGGUGGGUCAGAGGGAAGCGAGCCUAAUGGUCCUGGGUGUGAGAGCUCUCCCCAGCCAGCCCAGCUGUCCCCUCAGGAGGGUCCCUGCUCCUGUCUGAGGUGACAGGUGGUGGGAAAGGAGCUGGAGCUUCCUGCUCAGACCCACAACAUUGGUCAUCAGCAGGCUGCACUUUUCCUCAGUUCCAGGGUGGAUAGAGGGUCAAGUUCUUGACCUUAGCUCUGUAUCAAAAUUGCCUGAGAAACUGCUUAAGAAAACAGAUGUCAUGCUGAGCGCGGUGGCUCACACCUGUAAUCCCAACACUUUGGGAGGCCAAGGUGGGAGGAUUGCUUGAGGCGAGGAGUUCAAGACCAGCCUGGCCAAUAUAGUGAGACCCCAUUUCUGUUUUUGAAAAAAAAAAAAAAAGGAAAAAA